AGUGAACGCUGGCGGUAGGCCUAACACAUACAAGUCGAACGGCAGCACAGAGGAGCUUGCUCCUUGGGUGGCGAGUGGCGGACGGGUGAGGAAUACAUCGGAAUCUACUCUGUCGUGGGGGAUAACGUAGGGAAACUUACGCUAAUACCGCAUACGACCUACGGGCGAAAGCAGGGGAUCUUCGGACCUUGCGCGAUUGAAUGAGCCGAUGUCGGAUUAGCUAGUUGGCGGGGUAAAGGCCCACCAAGGCGACGAUCCGUAGCUGGUCUGAGAGGAUGAUCAGCCACACUGGAACUGAGACACGGUCCAGACUCCUACGGGAGGCAGCAGUGGGGAAUAUUGGACAAUGGGCGCAAGCCUGAUCCAGCCAUACCGCGUGGGUGAAGAAGGCCUUCGGGUUGUAAAGCCCUUUUGUUGGGAAAGAAAUCCAUCUGGUUAAUACCCGGGUGGGAUGACGGUACCCAAAGAAUAAGCACCGGCUAACUUCGUGCCAGCAGCCGCCGUAA
rnacentral:rRNA from 1 species